GUGGGGAAUAUUGGACAAUGGGCGAAAGCCUGAUCCAGCCAUGCCGCGUGAGUGAUGAAGGCCUUAGGGUUGUAAAGCUCUUUCAGUAGGGAAGAUAAUGACGGUACCUACAGAAGAAGCCCCGGCUAACUUCGUGCCAGCAGCCGCGGUAAUACGAAGGGGGCUAGCGUUGUUCGGAUUUACUGGGCGUAAAGCGCACGUAGGCGGAUUGGUCAGUUAGUGGUGAAAUCCCAGAGCUCAACUCUGGAACUGCCCUUAAUACUGCCAAUCUAGAGUCCGGAAGAGGUGAGUGGAACUCCUAGUGUAGAGGUGGAAUUCGUAGAUAUUAGGAAGAACACCAGUGGCGAAGGCGGCUCACUGGUCCGGUACUGACGCUGAGGUGCGAAAGCGUGGGGAGCAAACAGGAUUAGAUACCCCUGUAGUCC
rnacentral:rRNA from 1 species